AGAGUUUGAUCCUGGCUCAGGAUGAACGCUGGCGGCGUGCGUAACACAUGCAAGUUGAGCGACGACGUGCUUGAAGUGGCAACAUGGAAAGUACGAGCGGAGCAGCGGACGGGUGAGUACAACAUGAGAAGCUGUCCUUUGGUGGGGGACAACGUCUGGAAACGGACGCUAAUACCCCAUAGGCCGAGAGGUUAAAGCCGUAAGGCGCCAAGGGGGGUGCUCGUGUCCUAUCAGCUAGUUGGUGAGGUAAUGGCUCACCAAGGCGACGACGGGUAGCCGACCUGAGAGGAAGAUCCCCCACACUGGGACUGAGACACGGCCCAGACUCCUACGGGAGGCAGCAGUGAGGAAUAUUGGACAAUGGGGGCAACCCUGAUCCAGCCAUGCCGCGUGCGGGACUCACGCCCUAUGGGUCGUAAACCGCUUCUGUUGGGGAGCAAUAAGGUCUACGUGUAGACUGAUGAGAGUACCCAGCGAAUAAGCAUCGGCUAACUCCGUGCCAGCAGCCGCGGUAACACGGAGGAUGCGAGCGUUAUCCGGAUUUAUUGGGUUUAAAGGGUGCGUACGCGGAAUGGUAAGUCAGUGGUGAAAUACCCGCGCUCAACGUGGGCCGUGCCAUUGAUACUGUCAUUCUAGAGUCCUGUUGCCGUGGGAGGAAUGAGUAGUGUAGCGGUGAAAUGCAUAGAUAUUACUCAGAACACCCGAUUGCGAAGGCAUCUCACGAAGCAGGAACUGACGCUGAGGCACGAAAGCGUGGGGAUCGAACAGGAUUAGAUACCCUGGUAGUCCCACGCAGUAAACGAUGAUGGCUAACCGUCGGCGAUAGACAGCCGGUGGCCAAGCGAAAGCGAUAAGCCAUCCACCUGGGGAGUACGACCGCAAGGUUGAAACUCAAAGGAAUUGACGGGGGCCCGCACAAGCGGAGGAACAUGUGGUUUAAUUCGAUGAUACGCGAGGAACCUUACCCGGGCUCGAACGGUGCAGGAAGGACCCAGAGAUGGGGACGCCCUUCGGGGCCUGUAUCGAGGUGCUGCAUGGUUGUCGUCAGCUCGUGCCGUGAGGUGUCGGCUCAAGUGCCAUAACGAGCGCAACCCUUGCCGUCAGUUACCAGCACGUAGAGGUGGGGACUCUGGCGGGACUGCCACCGCAAGGUGAGAGGAAGGGGGGGAUGACGUCAAAUCAGCACGGCCCUUACGUCCGGGGCGACACACGUGUUACAAUGGUGGGUACAGAGGGGAGCCAUACAGUGAUGUAGCGCAGAUCUCAAAAACCCAUCUCAGUUCGGAUCGGAGUCUGCAACCCGACUCCGUGAAGCUGGAUUCGCUAGUAAUCGCGCAUCAGCCAUGGCGCGGUGAAUACGUUCCCGGGCCUUGUACACACCGCCCGUCAAGCCAUGAAAGCUGGGGGCGCCUGAAGUCCGUGACCGAGAGGAGCGGCCUAGGGCGAAACCGGUAAUUGGGGCUAAGUCGUAACAAGGUAACCGUA
rnacentral:rRNA from 1 species